rnacentral:misc_RNA from 1 species
GCAAACUUGGUCAUUUAGAGGAAGUAAAAGUCGUAACAAGGUUUCCGUAGGUGAACCUGCGGAAGGAUCAUUAACAAAUCCGUGUGGGGUGUUAUGGCCCCGACACUCGUUCCGCGUCCGCGUGCAUUUGCGCGGCGCGUCACAUUUAUCUAUCUAUGCUGACUGAUCGCGCAAACACAACAACUUUUAACAAUGGAUCUCUAGGCUCCUAUGUGUAUAAGAGACAGGCAAACUUGGUCAUUUAGAGGAAGUAAAAGUCGUAACAAGGUUUCCGUAGGUGAACCUGCGGAAGGAUCAUUAACAAAUCCGUGUGGGGUGUUAUGGCCCCGACACUCGUUCCGCGUCCGCGUGCAUUUGCGCGGCGCGUCACAUUUAUCUAUCUAUGCUGACUGAUCGCGCAAACACAACAACUUUUAACAAUGGAUCUCUAGGCUCCUGCAUCGAUGAAGAACGCAGC